rnacentral:precursor_RNA from 1 species
CGGGGGGUCGUGUGCCUGCGGUGCCCCCAGCUUGCUCUGGGACUGCCCGUCCCGCGGGCCCACCACCCUCCACC